rnacentral:rRNA from 1 species
GACGAACGCUGGCGGCGUGCUUAACAUAUGCAAGUCGAACGGAAAGGCCCUGCUUUUGUGGGGUGCUCGAGUGGCGAACGGGUGAGUAACACGUGAGUAACCUGCCCUUGACUUUGGGAUAACAUCAGGAAACUGGGGCUAAUAUCGGAUAGGAGCUCCUGCUGCAUGGUGGGGGUUGGAAAGUUUCGGCGGUUGGGGAUGGACUCGCGGCUUAUCAGCUUGUUGGUGGGGUAGUGGCUUACCAAGGCUUUGACGGGUAGCCGGCCUGAGAGGGUGACCGGCCACAUUAGGACUGAGAUACGGCGCAGACUCCUACGGGAGGCAGCAGUGGGAAGUAUUGCACAGUGGGCGGAAGCCUGAUGCAGCAACGCCGCGUGCGGGAUGACGGCCUUCGGGUUGUGAACCGCUUUCGCCUGUGACGAAGCGUGAGUGACGGUAAUGAGUAAAGAAGCACCGGCUAACUACGUG